UAGGGAAUCUUCCACAAUGGGCGAAAGCCUGAUGGAGCGACGCCGCGUGCAGGAUGAAGGGUUUCGGCUCGUAAACUGCUUUUAAGUGGGAAGAUUAUGACGGUACCACUUGAAUAAGAGUUGGCUAACUCCGUGCCAGCAGCCGCGGUAAUACGGAGAACUCAAGCGUUACCCGGAAUCACUGGGCGUAAAGCGUUGCGUAGGCGGUUUUGCAAGUCGGAUCUUAAAGGCCAAGGCUCAACCUUGGAACUGGGUACGAUACUACAAAACUGGAGGAUGGUAGAGGUCAGCGGAAUUGCUGGUGUAGGAGUGAAAUCCGUAGAUAUCAGCAGGAACACCGAUGGCGAAGGCAGCUGACUGGGCCAUUCCUGACGCUGAGGCACGAAAGCGUAGGUAGCGAACGGGAUUAGAUACCCCCGUAGUCC
rnacentral:rRNA from 1 species